AUGACAAAUGAAACUCUGAAGCUGGAAUCUCAUCUUUUCAGAGACUACUCUGGGGUGAUCCAUGUGCAGUCGGCAACCUGUGGCCGCACAAGCAGCCAAAUCUGUAGCGUUGGACGAUCCCAAAGUGAAACAUCUGAUGUUCAUUGUUCAGUCUUUUUCACUAUGGGCUGUGUUUGCACAUUUUUUUUAAACUGACACCAUCGCUGCAUCCCAAUAUGCCUACUUCCGUACUAUAAAGUAGGCGAAAAAACAGUACAUGAAAAUAGUGUCUGAAUUUAUUGUAUUUAAAAAAAACUUGUGAAAAAUACCUGGAUGACCGAUUAUUUCUGCUGAGAUUCUUAAGUGUGCAUCUGAUAGACACCUUAAUGGUAAGUAGAUAAAAAAGUUUGUCAAGACAAACUUUAAGUUGGCUUGAGAAAGCCGGACCAGAAAGUUUGAACAAGUUUGAAAAGAUUAAAAAGUUUAAGAAGUUUAAAUAGUUUUAAGUUUGAUUUUCAGUCUCAGAUACAUAGUUUGAAGUUUAAAGUAGGUUUAAAAGCUUAAAGGGGUCAUAUGAUGGGAUUUAAAUUUUUCCUUUCUCUUUGGAGUGUUACAAGCUCUUGGUGCAUGAAGAAGAUCUGUAAAGUUGCAAAGACUAAAGUCUCAAAUCCAAAGAGAUAUUCUUUAUAAAAGUUAAGAGUCAACCACACGCCCUCCUAAAACAGCUCGUUCUAACACGCCCCCACAUCUCUAUGUCAGUAUGUGGGAAGAUUUGCAUAACACCACCCAAAUGUUCACGCAAAAAUAGAAAGUGCAACUUUUAUUCUCGCAAUGUUGUGGAGAAGCUGUGUUUCGUUGUGAAAGAGAAACUACUUUGUUUGGUCUUCCAAAAGAGGACACAACUAGAAAUCAGUGGUUAAGUUGUAUUCCAGAACAUCUCGACCCAAAUAUUCAAAUGUGUGCAGCGCAUUUUAUGGAGGACAAUGCCCCGGCUGUUCUGACUCACAGAAUGUAAGUAUGUUUACAUUUAAAUAAUUUGUCACUUACGAUUCAAACAGAGUUAAAUGGAGUGAAGAGCAGACUGCUUGUUUGUUUCUCCGGUCACAAAUACAGAAUUGUAGACAUUUAAUAAUUUCAGUUAUUUAAAUGAGUAAUAAAUAUCAUUUUAAUCAGUAUGUAUGUACUGCA
ensembl:lncRNA